ACAAACUGAAGGAACAGCCCAUGAGUCUAUAACCAAGCACCACGGCCAUGGCCUUCCCCGGCGACGGGGAACACGCCGCCGCCAAUACCGCCGGCGACGCGGUGGUCCUAGAGAUCACCGACACAUCAUCCGUCUCCGCCGCCCGUGCUCCAUCCUCACCUCAUCCCCUGCCGGUCUCCAUCUCCGACCUCGCGUGCUUCGACCCGCUCCCAUCCCCAACCGUCGCCGUUCGCGUCGACCGACACAGGCUAAUCGAGAGCUCCUCCUACUUCCGCGCGCUCCUCGGCGGCAGCUUCAGUGAAUCCGGCCGAGAGCAUGUGCACGUGAGCUGUAAUUUGGAGGCUGCCGUGCAAGUGCUGCGCUACCUUUUUGAGCCUUCCGAGAGCUUCAACAUCACGCACGACAAUUUCCUUCCGCUGUUGGAGGGAGCUUUGUUUCUUGCUGUUGAGAGCCUUCUAGUGGAGUGUGAAAGAUGGUUCAGCACCAUAGCCUCUCAAACUUCCGCCAUUGUUUCAGUUCCAUUAGAUUUCAUAAUUGAAGUCUGGGACUUUGCUCAAGAGCAUGGUGUUACUUUUGUUCAAGACAUUUGCCGAGAAUUUCUAGCUCAGAAUUUUGCACAUGUUAUCUCAAGAAGGUCAUUUAAUAAAAUACCUUAUGAUUUGCUAUGUUCAACGAUCGAAUGUCCACAUCUGACGGUGGAUAGUGAAAAACAAUUGUGUGAAGCAAUUUUGUAUUGGGUUUCAGAAAAUAUGAAAACCUGUGAACAAUCAAACCCCAACUCAGUAGAUGGCCACCUCUUCCUUCUUAGCAAGGUGAAGAUAUGCCUUUUACCUUUGGGAUUUGCUGCAGGAACAAAGAGGCAUUGGUUUGAGUUUGGAAACAACAUCGUCUGCACAAUUCUUGAUCUUCUCAAGGACAGCUUGAAAACUUUAUUGGAUGCUAUUGCUGAUGAUAACUUGGAGAGAUAUUGCAUUAGAAUAACAGAAUAUUCAAAGAACAUAGUGCUUUCAGGAUGUCCCCAAGUAACUACAGCAUUCUUGUACAUAUCUGUUCUCCCUACUGAUCUGGAUGUUUCAUUUAAGAGAAGGAUAGUGAGUUCAUACACCCAGGUUGAUCAUCGAAGCUUCAUUCUUUAUGAUGAACUAGAGAAGGCUGCUAAAACCUUAUCAUUCAAGAAUGUACACAUGGUGGAUAUUUCGAAAUGUCCAAAUGUUCAUUUUGGUGCAGCCAUUGACUGGUUGAAGUUGUUUUUUCCAGAAUUAAGGAUAUUCAGGGUUUCACAUUGUUUAUCGUUUCAAUUUGAUGAUUUACUGUAUCUGUUACUGAGAUGUCCAUGGAUUGAUGAAAUUGAUAUGACUAUUGAUACUAGCACUGUAACACCCCAACAUUCAGUAGUCUCAUCUAGUUCAGAAGUCCUAAGCAAAGUGAAACCAAAUCAGAAAAGAUAUGGCAUACAUUGUCCACCAUAUGACAUGCAACUGAAUUCUGUUUUCUUAAAUAUAUCAAGAUUGACAUUGGAAGGCAGAAGUGAUAUUGAUGAUGUGGGCUUGCUGGAGAUAUCUGUUCUGAAAAGUUCUCUCUGCUAUAUAAACAUCAGAAACUGCUUCCUGUUGACAGAUGAUGGUAUUUCUAACCUUCUGAUGAAGUGUACAAAGAUCCAUUCAAUGGUUCUUUCUUAUACUUCUUUUGGAAAUCGAUCAAUUCAAACGCUAUGCGCUACCAAUCCUUCUGGCCACAACAGUGGAAAUGCUCAUGUUAUGGCAUUUUAUAUGCAAGAAUUACAUCUGGAUGGCUGCAAGGGUCUUGACUCUGCUGCUUUGUCACAGCUAAUGAGUAUUAUAAGUAUCACAAAGUUUCUGAGCUUAAGGGAAACAUCACUUACAGAUGGUGCACUCUGCAAUUUUGUUGGCUCUAGUCUCGAGUACCUUGACGUUUCAGAGACUGUGAUUUCUAUGGUAUCAUUAGCGCCAGUUAUACGAAGAAAUUGUAAAUUGAACUGUCUGAAAACAGCUGGAUGCCAUAGUCUUCUGUUGGAAUGUGGUAAUGUAGAACAUAUCAGUGGUAACAAGUAUGGAGAUUUUCUACAGGAGGUAGGAAUUACCUGCUGUUUGGAGGAUGUUGAAAUGGGCUGGGGAUUUUGCCCUAUUCGAAUCGAAGAUCUUGUUCCUUCUUUUAGCAAAGUAAGGAAUAUGACAAUUGGUCUCGGCACAGCAUUAGCUGAGAAUGUCCUGUGUGCUGUUCCUAUGAUUUGUCCAUUCCUCGAGUCUUUGAUUCUGAGGUUUCAGGUGAUAUCUGACAGAGUUGUUAGAAAUCUAUUGGAAUCAGCAACGAAUCUUCAGAGAAUUGUGAUUUGGCUGAACUUUCACUGUCUGGUUGCAAACUCCUUGACUCCAGCUCUCAAGACAUCAUCUCAUCUGGGUGGCCAAAAUUGGCACUUUUGCACCUUGAGGAAUGUGGUAAAGUAACCGUUGAAGGAGUUUCUUCUUUUUUCAAUUGUAAAGCUUUGGAAGACAUCCUACUACGGCACACGGUGAGUAUGAAAAGUCAUAGCUGGUUCUUGAGAUAUAGUUCUGGUGGUGAGUCCUAAAACACAACGUAGGACCAUACUAAAUGAUGCGAGCAACUUAAUGCUUGUUAGCUGCUACUCAAAGAGGAAGUGGUGCCUGGCAUGGUCACAGUCAAAACAAACUUUCACCAUGCUAUUGCAAAAUCGCAGUCCAUCUAUAUGUCAUUUGCAGGAUGUAUGCAAGUGUAACUUUUCUUUGUUGAAGAAGUUGAAUUGUCUGUUGGUUACAUAGUUUCUGAGAGUUGAGAACCGCAGGGUAGGGGCAUUGGAAGGAGCAUCAUAGACGAUGCUAUCAGAGAGUUACCACUUCUGCGGAAGCUGGCUUUGGAUCUUUGUGAUGCCUGUGAAGAAGGUUAUGAUAGCCCAAAUAUUGCGGAAGGGACGAUGAUUAGAAGUGUAAGGAUGAGUCGAUGCAAGACGAUGAAGGGGUCCUGUUUGGAGGUCCCUAGACAAGGGUCUUCAAGGCCGGUGCACAAGGACACCGUAGUGCUGGAAUGGAGCAGCAGAAGGCUCACAACCACCAUAGUGAAAGAAAGAGUGUGAUAAGCCUCAUUUCUGUACCUGAUGAAGAACAAGAGUAGUCCACAACAUAUGUGGCUUGUAUGAAUGUUGUUUUUUUUUUCCCUUUCUGCUGAUUUUGAAUGCUUUGUCUGUGUGAAGUUAUACAAGUGUGACGGACACGUACUUGGUUCCAUGCUUUUGUUUGUAUGUAUGGUACCAAACGAAGAUCAUUUCUGACAAGUU